CCCAUGCUCUUCUGUUCAUCUUAUCCAAUGGCAGAGAAGGUGGAAGGUGGGACAGCUUCGGCUGGGCGCUCGUCGGCGAGCUCGUCGGCCGUCCGGCUCUCCCCUCCGCUUGCGGCCCUCUCGGCCUCUCCUCCACUUCUUGCGUCCCCGUCCCCCCUGUAGGGCAUCCUCGACGUUCCUAACCUCAAGAAGUGCGGCGGCGGCAGAUCCGCGUGGAGGCGUCGAGCGCAGCUGGAUCGUGAAGGCCUCUGCAGCCUCCGUGCAGACGCUCGAGGUCAACAACGCCACCAUGAUGUACAGCUGCGAGCUGCCCACCCGUGUCCUCAGCCUCUUCGUCCCACUCUUGGUGUCUCCUCAAAGAUCCUCAGCAGGGAGCGCAUCAUUGUCGUCAACUCCAAGCUGAUCCGAUGCGUCAAGAGGUAAUCCUCUACUUACUUGACCGCUGACGAGGUCUUCCAAUACGCCGCCGGUGUGCAGCCACUCUCCUCUCUCUCUCUUUCCCUCCCUCUGGUAUCCCUCUCUAUCUUGCUGGAACGGCACCGACCAUCAUUGGUCUGGACUCACACCCAACUUGAUUUUUCCUUGUGCUGAUUUGGGGUUAGUUUAGGUCCAGGACUCCAGGGGCAGGCGCUAAUGGAGAGUUUGAGAAUGAAUGCGAGAGGUGGUUGCAUCUGUUACCCUUUAGUAAUUUUUCUGUCGGUCUCUUCUUUUUCGAUUCAUAGGUGUACUUAGAUCGAAGGAUCAGAUAUAUGCUAUUGUAAAGUUGUCUCAGGAUAUUAUCUAUCUGUUUCUGAUGAUAAGCUUUCAGUUAGUUGAUACCACUGACUUUUCCUGUGUGGGAAAGACAGCAUCUUCUACUGGACAUUUUCUAAGAUAGAGCGUUCAGAUUUCUUCUACAUAUAACAUGUACUACGAGCUGGCUGUGAUGGUUGCCGUCUAUAUUGUCGUGUGAAUUGUUCCACACUUCUGAUCAUCAUAUUGUAUGAUGAGCAGUUGGCCAUCUCUUAUUCUGUGGGGAUAUGGUCCGUUUAUAUUCUUCUAAUUGAUUCGGUUCACAAUUCUAGCCGAUGAGAUUUGGUCUACAUUUAUGUGUACAUAUGCUAUCCUAUAUACUAGAACUUGUGCUAGCCCAUUAUAUGAUUAUACUACAAGUAGACAAAUGCAAAUGUCCAUAGUAAUAAACUUGUGGUCACAGGACUACUAGCUUAAAGUUUGUGAGAUUUUGUAAAUGGGCAUUUUUGUUGUCUACUAUCUAGGUUUCUAUAGCAUGAGGUGGUGCUCUUGCUUUUAAAAACACAUAUAAACUGCCAUCUAUACUGAACAAUGGGGCUUCCUGUCUAAACUGAAGCAGUAAUUCGAGGCUGAAAGGACCGACAUUAGCAGCAAUAAUAUAAAUAUCCAUUAGAAGAGUUUUCUGCAUUGAGUCCGCGGGUCUCACAAAGAUAUAAGAUAUAUAGAAUGCUGUAAAGAUCAGCUUACCUUCUCAGGCAAUGGAACAAUUGUGUGUCUUGAUCUUUCCCGUUUUCUUUGGUUUUGCAGCCUAGAAUUUCUAGACAUGCGCAUAUAGAUUGGAGCAUCUAAUAGUAGUUGAAAAUAUUUUUGAGUAAAAAUGCAACUAAUACUCAAUUUUCUAGGACUUGAUACAUCAUGGUCUCCUUGUGCUUUGUUGUUUGGUUGGUGUAGAAUCCCUCAGCUCUUACCAAGAGGCUCUAGCUUCGAACAUGACUCUUUUAGUAGUUGGAGUGUUGCACGCAUGGAAUUGAUCGCAGGUUUAGAGAGGAAGCGAAGCAGCAACAGUUUGGGUUCAGAGAAGAUUAGGAGCAACAGUUCAUUGGAGAAGGAGAGGUACAUCAGCCGAGGGCAGCAGCGGAGAGCAAAAUCAGCAGGUUAGGGGCGGCAGGAGAGGAUCAGAAGUAGAGAUGAGUGCGAUUCAAUUGCCAUUGAUAAUGAUUCAACUUGAGUUUGCACCAUCCUUGUGUUACUAAAUAGUUUUUUCCUUUUUCACUUGUGAUUAUGUACUAGAGAUUUGCAAGGAUGCAUUGGAUUCUUUUUAUACUGAUUUGAUGCACUCUGACUUUGGAAUGCGAACAAAUGUGUUCUUCAAUUGGCAUUGAUGAUUCAGACUUUAGUUUGCUAAUACUGUAGCUGACAUAACCUUAUGUGUUACUCGGCUAUACUAAGUGGAUUGAGCUUUUUGUUAUCCCGAUGGCUUGAAAGCAAAUCUGUUCAAGGUUUCUUCUUUAUCUUAGGCUCAGUACAAUGCUCAUAAUCUCAAUUGAGUAGCAAGCUUAUGGCUGGAUUGUAUUUCAGUUGACCAACAUGGUCGGAGGUGUGAACCAAACUGACAACAGAGAUAUCCAGUCUCUCAUGCUUUAUUCUUCAUGUAGUACAAUGAAGUUUGUUUGUAGCUAACUUAGUCCUCUCGGAUGCUCUUUCUUGAUACAAGGGUAUGAACAUGUCGUACACUGACCGUGGAAAACAGUUGGACCUCAUUUACAAAGAUACAUGUCACUGAGGUAGCUGAAAAAGAAUUUGAUGGCCAAGAACCAUCGAACCUAUGGUGCACUUCUGAACUGUUAUUGCUCAUCUAAAAAUGAAGAGAAAGCAGCACGCCUUUAUCACAAGAUGGACGAGCUUGACAUCAAUCAACAAUCUGAUAUCCCUUUACAUGAAGUAAGGCUAGCAUCAAAAGAAUCUUAAGGGCCUUGAUUUAGAAGGUCACAUAAAUAUCUAGAUUGAUCAUUAGUAGUCAGGGUUGUUUGAUAGAUUCACUUCAUAAUACUCAAUUUUCCCCUACUUGUAUCAUCACCACUGUAUAAUGUAGCAUAGUAUUCCCUCUGUAAAGAAAUAUAAGAGCGUUCUUAUAUUUAUUUUUUACGGAGGGAGUACUAUGCACAAAGCUCAGCACCUAAAUUACUUGAAUGUUGGCUCAUGGUUUUUUACUUAAAAAGGUGAUUUCGUU